GAAAGUUUCUUUAGCUUCCUCUUCUGGGUCAUGAAUUUUCUCCUUACCUCUAUCUAAUAUGAUGACAAACUGUCCCAUUGAGGCUUUUCACAUUUUUGGUCAUUGCAUUUUAACCUCUAUUUGAUUGUUUUCUUUCAAAUCUGUUAUAUUAAUAAUUUCUAAUCUGCCAAUUUUCAGACUUGGGUUUUUAUCCCCUUGAACAGAAAAGCAAUUAUUUUGUAGUCUACUCUUAGUAGCCAGAGCCCAGUGGGUCUUUCUGUUGUCUCUACUGGUCUUGUCUCAUGCUGUUUGUUCCUGUGUCUGGAUUUUGUGUUCUGGACACUGUAUUUGAAAAGUGAUCCUCUGAGAAAUGCAAGACCAAGGCAACCACUUUCAGAGUAUUUAUCGGCUCCUGGCCAGGGGCUUUGAGUCAUGAACAAUACGGGAGGACAAGGUUGUGGGAUGAAGUUAAUCCAGUUCCAGAAAUUGAGAUCUCCUGGGCAUUGUGACAUGCAGCCCAGCUGCUGUCCAUGCAGGACUGGAUUUCAGUUCUGGGCUAGAGUGGGAGGUCUAAGGCUUAAAUCCUGGCUCUACUGUGGGACCUCAGAAGUGACUCAUCCUCAUUAAGCUUCAGUUUUAUCACCUUGAAUUGAGGUAUCUUCUUACCUUCAUGUGGAGAAACCCAUGCCCAGACGGGGAGGUAUUUCUUGCAACAGGCUACAAUCGGAGGGAUGGACUCGGGCCCCCACGAGUAUGGAAGGAAAACACGGGACAGUCCUCAAGGAGGUCGCCUCAGAAAUAGGGACAACUGGAGCCAACUCGCUGCGUCAUUAGCUGGGCUUCGGGACCCCCCUCCGGUGCAGGUACCCCGAGCCGCGCAGAGAUCCCGCCCUCCCCGGCACGGACCUCGGCUCCCAAGGCAUGGACGGCGGCUGGCGAGACGCGCCGAGGACUACGCUCCACCUGCCAGCGGGCCCGUUGGGGUUUGUCACCGGGAUCCCAGACCAUUCGGAGCCACGGUCUUCCCUUCCUCCUUCUCUAGUGUUUCCCCAAAGAACGGCUACAGGAAGGUCACUUCUACGGAGCCUCAGACCAAAAAUUAAGCCCCGGGUAGGAGGGAUGGCCCAAGGAGCCUUCUCCGUCCGUAGUGUGGCUACUGGUCUGGGGGGCCUGGCAUGUCCUGACAGAGAGACCCCCGGACAGACGGCCUCAUUCCCGUGCUUCCAGAAGGCUCUCUGGUCCCCACCUGCUUCUACGGCAGCUCCACCUUCAGUUCCCGCCUGUACUGGAAGGUUGAGCUGAGGGUGGGCCCCUUCCCCGCUAGCCCACCUAGGCCGUGGAAUGUCCCGCGGCAUGUGGAAGGGGAAGGGCCCCUGCAGUCCCCCCAUGUAAGCGACAGUGGGGGAAGGAUAGAGAAAUCGGGGCAGGGAGAGUGCAGUGGGACCGCAGCCCGGGCGCGAGGGAUUGCUCGGGGUUACGGGGGCUGAGGCUCGGAGCUCUGGGUCGGCGGUGCUGGGGCCGUGCCUGCCUUCCCGACCACGGAGGCAAGGACCGGGCGCUGGGGGGCCGUGCGUGAGGCCGGGCCUGCCGUGACGAGGCCGACGCCUGGAGGGUGGGUGCCGCUGCCCCAACGGGGCUGGAGGGCCAAGGCGCUGUGGGCCCCAGGGACAUGUCCCGCUGGGAGCCCUGAGCCGGGUCCUCGCUCCUGCUGUCCCCGGGGGCAGUGGGAGAGCUGCGUGUUCGAGAUCCUCCCGGAGGAGCUCAGAUCCCGACGAUAGGCCUCGGGUAAGUGUGCGAACUGGGCAUCUUGACUUGAUCCCUGGCUGAACUCGAGGUAGAUGUGUAGGACCCGUUGUGUCCAACUCCGUUAUGGUUGGGGGGGGGGUUGGUUGGUUUUAUUUAUUUUGUUUUUUUGUUUUCAGUUUUUUGGUCUUUUUUAGGGGAGAAAGGUCAGAGGCCUCACGCUAAUCAACCCUCGGAGCCCUCUGGGAGACAUCUACUCCCGAGACUCACUGAACAAAUACCUGGAAUUUGCCGAGAGGUUGGACUUCCACCCCUCGAGACGAGGCCCCUGAGCAGGUUCCUGUCACUCGAGGCCAAGAAGUCAGAACCCGAUGCAAUGUACCCCGAUAGUCUUACCGCCUAGUGUACCCUGCAAAGCUGUGCACGACUCCCUGAAAUUGAAGUGAAAGCAAACAUACCCACAUGCUUCAGCCAAACAUUUUUUUUUGCCAUUUUCCUUUUUUAUUCUUUUGCCCGGGUACAGACACCGACACAACAAACGUGAUCUGGUUUUGCUGCUUUUCCUCUUCUUGCCACGUAACCACUUUCUCCCAGCAGCCACUUCGCGGCCACUUGGCCUGAGGCCAAGCCGGACUCCCAGACCCUAUGCGGGUACAGCCUACGUGUGAUUACAGGGGACACUGACGUGCUGCCUGUGCUCGACCAACCCAUCAUGCUCCACAGUGUUCUGAGCGUGGAAAGUUUGCCCGACCCCAGCAGGACCCAUGUGAUCGGGGGCACCAGUAGGGAUUUCGGCAUCUCUGGCUUCCGUUUUCGUGUUCUUCACACACACAACCAGGGGGUGGCCUCUGCUGUGAGCCCUUCUGGCCGCCUCCGCGGUGUGCCUGGCAUCGCCCAGUACCAGCUGUGCCAGCUGCUUCAGGACACAGGAUCGCGCCCUGGUCCAAAGGCAGGCGCUAAACCGCUGCGCCACCCAGGGAUCCCCCCACCCAAGUGGUUCUAACGUGCUGCCAGUGCUGAGCAACCGGGCUAAGGGCGCCUCCGAGCAUAUCUAAGUUGCUCAAAGUCCACCGCGGGGCUCCGAGGCAGGAGGUAAGAGAGCUCGGAGGAUCUGCCCUGUUGGCAGCAGCGAGUCUACCUCACUUAGGGGGCACCCUGACUCUUUAUAUCGCGGCUGUAAACCCAAGCAGAACAUUCCUACCAGACUGUUGAGGUGUGCUGAGUACGGGUGUUACCAGCUCAGCUGUGACACGGAGUCGGUCUUGGAGAGAAACAGCUGGCACCAGCCCAGGCAGGGAGCCCUGGGAUAUCUUCCUCUGCCCCAGGGGGAGGUUUCCACAAAAUGUGUCUUCAUCCAACAGACAUGCAGGUCUCACAAACAGAGGUGGGCACAGACCCCUGUCCACCCAGGGCACCUGGGCACACAGAGCGCCCCAUCCCUGGGGUCCCAGAGCCCUAGACAGAACCAGCCAGCAGCUGCAGCUGGAGUUCCAGUGGGCUGGGGCUGGGUGGGG